AUUGAGCGCUGGCGGCAGGCCUAACACAUGCAAGUCGAGCGGAUGAAGGGAGCUUGCUCCUGGAUUCAGCGGCGGACGGGUGAGUAAUGCCUAGGAAUCUGCCUGGUAGUGGGGGAUAACGUCCGGAAACGGGCGCUAAUACCGCAUACGUCCUGAGGGAGAAAGUGGGGGAUCUUCGGACCUCACGCUAUCAGAUGAGCCUAGGUCGGAUUAGCUAGUUGGUGGGGUAAAGGCCUACCAAGGCGACGAUCCGUAACUGGUCUGAGAGGACGAUCAGUCACACUGGAACUGAGACACGGUCCAGACUCCUACGGGAGGCAGCAGUGGGGAAUAUUGGACAAUGGGCGAAAGCCUGAUCCAGCCAUGCCGCGUGUGUGAAGAAGGUCUUCGGAUUGUAAAGCACUUUAAGUUGGGAGGAAGGGCAGUAAGUUAAUACCUUGCUGUUUUGACGUUACCAACAGAAUAAGCACCGGCUAACUUCGUG
rnacentral:rRNA from 1 species